CCCGCUGGAGGCCCCACCGGAGCGAUAGGGGGUGGAGGUGGGAGCAGGGAAGACCCCUCAGCCCCUCCCGAGUCCCCCUCAGGUCUCAGACGUUCUUUCCAUGAGAGCUGCUUCACUCAAAAUUACCCGGUGUUGGAACACUUUCUGCACGUGUCCUAUGAGUGAGCUGCUGUGGUGAAACAUAUUGAAGACUUGACCAUCUUGCUAAGUGGGGCCCAAGCCAUCGAAACGCGUCGAAGUCCUGCUGGCAUUGUUGCAACGAUAAUUUUAAAAUCUAUUGAUAUUAACACACGUAAUCUGCUGAGCUUUGGCACAUUUAUCCAGUACCUUAAAGAUAGUGAGAAAAAAAUGAAGUUGACUUUUAGGAGUUUGGACACAAGUAAUGAUGCUAAGUGAAGAGUGGGGAAGAGUGUUCCCGGCAGAGGAAAGAGUUUAUUAGGAGGCUGUGGUCACCCCAGGGAGCAGGUCAUGUCUGAGGAACUGGAGGAGGACCAGUGAGUCUGAAGCCGAGAGCCAGGGGAAGUGCCAGAGAUGAGGCUAGGAGGCUGGCACCGGCACCGUCUUGGAGGGCCUUGAGGCCUGUGAAGGUUUUUGGACUGGAUCCUAAAGGGGAAUGAAGUGGGAAGCCACUGAAGAGUUUUCAGCAGGGGGAGUAACACCAUGAUAUUUGUGUGGAGCAUGGAUUGGCAGAUGUGAACUCCGAUGGGACUGUGGUGAUGAGAAUAAACGAGUUGGGAGAUAUUUAGGAAUAGAACA
rnacentral:lncRNA from 1 species